AGCAGCUUCUCUGUCGCCGGCGGAACCCGCGUCACUGCCCCGGCUUCCGGCGGACACUUCCGGGAGCUGCACUGGAAAUGGAGGAGCCCGAGCUCCAGCUGCGAGUCCGGCGGGUUACAGAUAAAUUCACGGAGAGUAUGUACUUUCUGGCUAAUGAGCCCUCAGUGGCUCUUUACCGUCUCCAGGAGCACGUUCGCCGCUCCCUUCCUGAGCUGGUGCAGCACAAGACAGAUAUGCAAAGCGUGGAAGAACAAUGCCAGGGAGCAAUAUAUACUGUCGAAUACGCCUGCAGCGCAGUGAAGAGCAUGUCUAACAGUGCAGCCUAUUUCACCAACAUCGAGGGGUUGCUCCGACAAGCCAUCAGCAUCAAGGACCAGAUGAGCUCUUUGCAGAGCCGCAGAGCCAAGCGUGCACCCCUCCCUUUCCAGGAAGUGAUGCAAAGAAUGUCCUGAGCUUGGGUUGGAGAAUAAGUCGCAUGAGUAUCAGUCUUGUCUUCAAAGGGCCAGUGUUGGAUGGUGUAUUCAGUGAAUAAUGGCCGUCAAGCUCAUCCCAGCCCAUGUGAACCAACCGGAUCAGACACUCUGAAGUUCUGAAGUCGGACAGUUGACAGCACUGGUGUGUGUGUGUGUAUGCGUAUCUGUGUACACGUGCAUGCGUGUGUAUGCACACGGGUACUUGGCUAUAAGAGACAUUGCCUCCUGUAGGAACUUGUUGCAUCAGCACCUUGUGACAGCAGUGAAGAAUCUGCUCCACAGAAGCCACGCAUCCUCUGCAUAUAAUUCUCAUCCUGUCAUUAGCUCGGUUCUCUACCCAAAGUAGUGCUGCACGGUGACUGGGGGAGAGCUCGACUGUCUGCAGGCCGUCAGUGCUAGUGAAGAUUGUGUACAGAGGACAUGGGUCCCCUGUUCCUCCCACCCACGAUAUCUGAAGGCACUGUGCAAAGUUCUGCCUCGGCUGCUCUGCUUGAAACUCCUCAGUCCUAUCUCGAGAUGUGGGUUGGGCUGUUCUGUGGCAAGGGGCUGAUCUCAGCAGAGUGCCUGAGAUUGUAUGGUUUUGUGGGCUUGCAUUAACGAUCUGUGCAUCCUGUAAUAAAUAAAUGGAUGGGAAGACUGAA